rnacentral:rRNA from 1 species
AGUGAACGCUGGCGGUAGGCCUAACACAUGCAAGUCGAACGGCAGCACAGUAAGAGCUUGCUCUUACGGGUGGCGAGUGGCGGACGGGUGAGGAAUACAUCGGAAUCUACUUUUUCGUGGGGGAUAACGUAGGGAAACUUACGCUAAUACCGCAUACGACCUACGGGUGAAAGCAGGGGAUCUUCGGACCUUGCGCGAUUGAAUGAGCCGAUGUCGGAUUAGCUAGUUGGCGGGGUAAAGGCCCACCAAGGCGACGAUCCGUAGCUGGUCUGAGAGGAUGAUCAGCCACACUGGAACUGAGACACGGUACAGACUCCUACGGGAGGCAGCAGUGGGGAAUAUUGGACAAUGGGCCCAAACCUGAUCCAGCCAUACCGCGUGGGUGAAGAAGGCGUUCGGGUUGUAAAGCCCUUUUGUUGGGAAAGAAAUGCAGCAGGUUAAUACCCCGCUGUUCUGACGGUACCCAAAGAAUAAGCACCGGCUAACUUCGUG